CAGCAGCAGCCGCAGCCGCCGCAGCAGCGCGCGGCGCAGCCGUCGACGGGUCAGCGGUGUCGGGCGCCUUCGACCGGUACGGCCCCGGCGGGCUGCGCUCUCUGGACGAGACGCUGCAGGGCUCGGUGGACUGCCAGCGCGCCGGCCUCUUCCGGCACCCGCACCGCUGCGACAAGUUCUACGCGUGCCACUGGGACCAGUGGAAGGGCCGCUACACGCUGCACGUCUUCAACUGCCCCGUGCACCUCGCCUACGACCAGUCCAUCGGCGCGUGCAACUGGCCGUCCAAGGGGCCCGCCUGCGCCAACGACCGCCUGCUCGUCUAGGCGCGCGCUCCCUGCCCCCCUCCCUCCCACACUGCACAUUAAUUUAUUUCCCUAUUUAUUUAUUGUACUAUUUAUUAGCCACAUUGACACUCGAGUCAUUAAAACGUGCCUCUCCUAACACGUAUCACCGUCCGACAAGUGCUACACACAUUCAGAAUCGCACGGACUGCCGUUCAAUUUCAGUUAACCAGAAGCCAUUCUCUGCAACUAACAAACCAUCUGCGACACCAGUGACGGUUUCCUUUGUUCACAGGUGUAAUUAUUCGUCGAAAUCAUUUUUGUAUUAUCUGUCUGUAAAUACGUAUAGCUUCGUUGGUUUGGAUACAUACAAAACCAUAAAAUGUCUUAUAUGUAUAUUAAUGUGGAAUGCAUAUUAAUAAAUAUAUUUUGCUCAGUA